AGUGAACGCUGGCGGUAGGCCUAACACAUGCAAGUCGAACGGCAGCACAGUAAGAGCUUGCUCUUACGGGUGGCGAGUGGCGGACGGGUGAGGAAUACAUCGGAAUCUACUUUUUCGUGGGGGAUAACGUAGGGAAACUUACGCUAAUACCGCAUACGACCUACGGGUGAAAGCAGGGGAUCUUCGGACCUUGCGCGAUUGAAUGAGCCGAUGUCGGAUUAGCUAGUUGGCGGGGUAAAGGCCCACCAAGGCGACGAUCCGUAGCUGGUCUGAGAGGAUGAUCAGCCACACUAGAACUGAGACACGGUCCAGACUCCUACGGGAGGCAGCAGUGGGGAAUAUUGGACAAUGGGCGCAAGCCUGAUCCAGCCAUACCGCGUGGGUGAAGAAGGCCUUCGGGUUGUAAAUCCCUUUUGUUGGGAAAGAAAAGCAGCAGGUUAAUACCCCGCUGUUCUGACGGUACCCAAAGAAUAAGCACCGGCUAACUUCGUG
rnacentral:rRNA from 1 species